CAUAUAACAACUAGCCACUCCUCGAAUAUAACUUGUGAAUAGGUCUAAAACCACAGGUCUUGUAGCUUGCCACCACGAGAGUAUACUACCUGAGGACUGAAGUAGUUUUGCACUCAACAAACGAGCCAGUGUACCAGAAACUCUUCUUUCUCCCUCAUGAUUUGAUGUCGGAAGGUACCGCAGACCCGUGACGCUAGGAUCCCGCCUCGGUGACGAACUGUAUUAGGUAGAGUGCCAUGCAGGUUUUUACGACGUCA
rnacentral:rRNA from 1 species